CUUCAGACAGAGAUUGACCAAGGACUCGCACUGAUUUCAUCCUGCUUGACUGUCGAGCAUGUCAGAACUCCUCAAACCGUCCACCACACAGUGCGCAGAGGGGGAGGAAGAGAAGGUAGCACAGAUCACCGUCAAAAGAAGGAAACAACUAUACCAACUUCCCUUUCUGCAAAAAAAAGAGAAGAAAGUUUUCUGCUCUUUUUUCAGAAAGGGGAAAGGAGGAAAAAUUGCUAGGUGGUUGUCAACAGUUGAAGCUACAGCCGCACCUGGCAUCGUGCUACUGGUCUUUGAUCACUUGUCGAGUGAAAUUCCGCCACUGGAUUAAAGUGAAGGAGGGGGCAUCCAAAGGUGGGAUGACUAGCAAGAGUGACAAGGAAGGAUAAAACACAGAGAACAACUUUGCCUGAGACGUAGCCCUGCGUGUCUGGUGUGUUUAAUGUGGUGUGCACCGCCCUGUUGGCUGUAAUUAAAAUCAGCGUGAAUUGUUAGAGUUGCCUCAAGCCAAUCAUAUCUGUUCCUGCCCACACAUUGCAGAAACUUUCUGUUUGGUGAAAUAACCUUAUCAAAAUAAGUAAAGAACACUAUCUUUGACCUGACACAAGCAAUCAAAUGUACAUCACUGAUGAGUAAAUUUCCACAGGGGCUCAUGGUAAGCACUCAAUUAGCAGGACUGGAUUAUUGCAAAGUGUAAAUUGUAAUUUUUUCAACAUAUCUUGUUUUUCAGCAAACCAAAAACUGUUCAUAAAAGGAAAUGCAUUUUAUUGUAAGUUAUUUCUU